CCUACGGGUGGCUGCAGUGAGGAAUAUUGGUCAAUGGGCGCGAGCCUGAACCAGCCAAGUCGCGUGAGGGAAGACGGUCCUAUGGAUUGUACACCUCUUUUGUCGGGGAGCAAAAGACGCCACGCGUGGCGUUCCGAGAGUACCCGAAGAAAAAGCAUCGGCUAACUCCGUGCCAGCAGCCGCGGUAAUACGGAGGAUGCGAGCGUUAUCCGGAUUUAUUGGGUUUAAAGGGUGCGCAGGCGGCGAGUAAAGUCAGCGGUAAAAUUGGGGGGCUCAACCUCUUCGAGCCGUUGAAACUGGUUUUCUUGAGUGAGUGAGAAGUAUGCGGAAUGCGUGGUGUAGCGGUGAAAUGCAUAGAUAUCACGCAGAACUCCGAUUGCGAAGGCAGCAUACCGGCGCCCAACUGACGCUGAAGCACGAAAGCGUGGGUAUCGAACAGGAUUAGAUACCCGAGUAGUC
rnacentral:rRNA from 1 species